UGCGUAGGCGGGGCAAUUAGUCAGUGGUGAAAUCCUGCGGCUUAACCGUAGAACUGCCAUUGAUACUGUUGCCCUUGAGUAUAGUUGAGGUGGGCGGAAUGUGUAAUGUAGCGGUGAAAUGCAUAGAGAUUACACAGAACACCAAUUGCGAAGGCAGCUCACUAAGCUAUAACUGACGCUGAGGCACGAAGGCGUGGGGAGCGAACAGGAUUAGAUACCCUGGUAGUCC
rnacentral:rRNA from 1 species